UGGGGAAUUUUGGACAAUGGGCGAAAGCCUGAUCCAGCAAUGCCGCGUGUGUGAAGAAGGCCUUCGGGUUGUAAAGCACUUUUGUCCGGAAAGAAAUCCUUGGCUCUAAUACAGUCGGGGGAUGACGGUACCGGAAGAAUAAGCACCGGCUAACUACGUGCCAGCAGCCGCGGUAAUACGUAGGGUGCAAGCGUUAAUCGGAAUUACUGGGCGUAAAGCGUGCGCAGGCGGUUUGCUAAGACCGAUGUGAAAUCCCCGGGCUCAACCUGGGAACUGCAUUGGUGACUGGCAGGCUAGAGUAUGGCAGAGGGGGGUAGAAUUCCACGUGUAGCAGUGAAAUGCGUAGAGAUGUGGAGGAAUACCGAUGGCGAAGGCAGCCCCCUGGGCCAAUACUGACGCUCAUGCACGAAAGCGUGGGGGAGCAAACAGGAUUAGAUACCCUGGUAGUCCACGCCCUAAACGAUGUCAACUAGUUGUUGGGGAUUCAUUUCCUUAGUAACGUAGCUAACGCGUGAAGUUGACCGCCUGGGGAGUACGGUCGCAAGAUUAAACUCAAAUGAAUUGACGGGGUCAUAGCUGUUUCCU
rnacentral:rRNA from 1 species